rnacentral:rRNA from 1 species
UACAGAGGGGGCAAGCGUUGUUCGGAAUUACUGGGCGUAAAGCGUGCGCAGGCGGUUGUGCAAGACAGAUGUGAAAUCCCCGGGCUCAACCUGGGAAUUGCAUUUGUGACUGCACGGCUAGAGUGUGUCAGAGGGGGGUAGAAUUCCACGUGUAGCAGUGAAAUGCGUAGAGAUGUGGAGGAAUACCGAUGGCGAAGGCAGCCCCCUGGGAUAACACUGACGCUCAGGCACGAAAGCGUGGGGAGCAAACAGGG